CCUACGUGGGGCAGCAGUGGGGAAUAUUGCGCAAUGGGCGAAAGCCUGACGCAGCGACGCCGCGUGAGGGAUGAAGGUCUUCGGAUCGUAAACCUCUGUCAGCAGGGAAGAACGGUCACUGUGCUAAUCAGCAGUGAAUUGACGGUACCUGCAAAGGAAGCACCGGCUAACUCCGUGCCAGCAGCCGCGGUAAUACGGAGGGUGCGAGCGUUAAUCGGAAUUACUGGGCGUAAAGCGCUCGUAGGCGGUAUGUCAAGUCAAGGGUGAAAUCCCCGCGCUCAACGUGGGAACUGCCUUUGAAACAGGCAAACUGGAGUGUGUGAGAGGAAAGUGGAAUUCCAGGUGUAGGAGUGAAAUCCGUAGAUAUCUGGAGGAACAUCAGUGGCGAAGGCGACUAUCUGGCACAUAACUGACGCUGAGGAGCGAAAGCGUGGGUAGCAAACAGGAUUAGAUACCCGAGUAGUC
rnacentral:rRNA from 1 species